rnacentral:rRNA from 1 species
UACGUAGGUGGCAAGCGUUGUCCGGAAUUAUUGGGCGUAAAGAGCUCGUAGGCGGUUCGGCAAGUCGGAUGUGAAAUCUCCACGCUUAACGUGGAGGGGCCAUUCGAAACUGCUGUGACUCGAGUCCGGUAGGGGAGUGUGGAAUUCCCGGUGUAGCGGUGAAAUGCGCAGAUAUCGGGAGGAACACCAGUAGCGAAGGCGGCACUCUGGGCCGGUACUGACGCUGAGGAGCGAAAGCGUGGGGAGCGAACAGG